AGAGUUUGAUCAUGGCUCAGGACGAACGCUAGCUACAGGCUUAACACAUGCAAGUCGAGGGGAAACGAUAUUGGAAGCUUGCUUUUGAUGGGCGUCGACCGGCGCACGGGUGAGUACCGCGUAUCCAACCUGCCCACCACUUGGGGAUAACCUUGCGAAAGUAAGACUAAUACCCAAUGAUAUCUCUAGAAGACAUCUGAAAGAGAUUAAAGAUUUAUCGGUGAUGGAUGGGGAUGCGUCUGAUUAGCUUGUUGGCGGGGUAACGGCCCACCAAGGCAACGAUCAGUAGGGGUUCUGAGAGGAAGGUCCCCCACAUUGGAACUGAGACACGGUCCAAACUCCUACGGGAGGCAGCA
rnacentral:rRNA from 1 species